rnacentral:rRNA from 1 species
UACGUAGGGUGCAAGCGUUGUCUGGAAUUAUUGGGCGUAAAGAGCUCGUAGGCGGUCUGUCGCGUCGGAUGUGAAAACCUAGGGCUCAACCCUGGGCCUGCAUUCGAUACGGGCAGACUAGAGUUCGGUAGGGGAGACUGGAAUUCCUGGUGUAGCGGUGAAAUGCGUAGAUAUCUGGAGGAACACCGGUGGCGAAGGCGGCUCUCUGGACCGAUACUGACGCUGAGGCGCGAAAGCGUGGGGAGCAAACAGG